GACAGAGGGUGCAAACGUUGUUCGGAAUUACUGGGCGUAAAGCGCGUGUAGGCGGCUAAGUGUGUCGGGCGUGAAAUCCCACGGCUCAACCGUGGAAGUGCACCCGAAACUACGUAGCUAGAGUCCUGGAGAGGAAGGUGGAAUGCUUGGUGUAGAGGUGAAAUGCGCAGAUAUCGGGAGGAACAUCGAUGGCGAAAGCAGCCGCCUGGGCCUGAACUGACACUGAGACACGAAAGCGUGGGGAGCAAACAGG
rnacentral:rRNA from 1 species